rnacentral:misc_RNA from 1 species
UUUUUUUUGGACUCUUGUCCUCCAAUAACUGCUCCUCCGCCUCCUCUGUUUUCACUUUGGAGCGUGUUCAUGUAAGGUACAGUAGAAGAGGUGUGGUUCGCUGAGUGAAUGGUGGGUCCGGACCCAAGACUGAUGGGCUGGGACCUAAACUGUUGAAGAAGAGGUAUACCGUAACGCCGAGACAAGGAUGGUAAUUCUGGAGAAAUGUUAGCCGAGAAUUCGAUGGGGGAGAGGGUAGAGAUUGGGGAUGUAUGUUGGUACAUCCUGGGCUUCACGGACCGAAGGAG